AGGGUUUGAUUAUGGCUCAGGAUAAACGCUGGCGGCGCACAUAAGACAUGCAAGUCGAACGAACUUAACCAUUAGUUUACUAUUGGAGCGGUUAGUGGCGGACUGGUGAGUAACACGUAAGCAACCUGCCUAUCAGAGGGGAACAACAGUUAGAAAUGACUGCUAAUACCGCAUAUGCCUUGAGUAUCACAUGGUACAAAAGGGAAAGGAGCAAUCCGCUGAUAGAUGGGCUUGCGUCUGAUUAGAUAGUUGGUGAGGUAACGGCCCACCAAGUCGACGAUCAGUAGCCGGACUGAGAGGUUGAACGGCCACAUUGGGACUGAGAUACGGCCCAG
rnacentral:rRNA from 1 species